UACGUAGGCAGCGAAGCGUUGUUCGGAGUUACUGGGCGUAAAGAGUGCGUAGGCGGUUUCGCAAGUUUGGUGUGAAAUCUCCCGGCUUAACUGGGAGGGUGCGCCGAAAACUGCGGGGCUGGAGUGUGGGAGAGGUAGGUGGAAUUCCUGGUGUAGCGGUGAAAUGCGUAGAUAUCAGGAGGAACACCGGUGGUGUAGACGGCUUUCUGGACCGUAACUGACGCUGAGACACGAAAGCGUGGGUAGCAAACAGG
rnacentral:rRNA from 1 species